UACGAAGGGGGCUAGCGUUGUUCGGAAUUACUGGGCGUAAAGCGCACGUAGGCGGCCUGGUAAGUCCGCUGUGAAAGUCAAAGGCUCAACCUUUGAAUGUCAGCGGAUACUGCCAGGCUAGAGUCCGGAAGAGGCGAGUGGAAUUCCUGGUGUAGCGGUGGAAUGCGCAGAUAUCAGGAGGAACACCUGUGGCGAAAGCGGCUCACUGGGACGUUACUGACACUGAGGCGCGAAAGCGUGGGGAGCGAACAGG
rnacentral:rRNA from 1 species